UGUGAUGUGUCACCAAUAGAAAAUAAACACACUAAUCAACACUUAAGUAAUAAUUCAAUCAUUAACAAUCAUGUCAUAUUUUUACAAAAUAUAGUUUAAAUAUAUGGUCUCCCUAGCAUUAUCAUAUGAAUAAACUAUGCCUUGUGUAUUCAAGUUACAUUCUGAAUGUGCCAGAGUUUCAAUCAAUGACAUGAAUCUCAAUUGAACUCAGUUUUGAGAAAAUUGCCUCGCACCUGAUAUCGGAAUUUGAGAUGAAAGAUCUUGGAACACUCAACGCUAUCUUGGCCUGAAGUUCAAAAUUAGUAAUAUUAUAUGUACUUGCAUUGUUUAGACGAUAUUCUAGUUCACCAGUCGAACUACACCAGAAGGUGUUGCCUACCCAUUAUCAUCUAUGCAUUAGAUGCAAAGGAGAUCUCUAAAGAGUAAAUGGAGCCUAAAGAUGCAGCACUACGCUACAUGCCACCAUUGAAUUAGUGAUAAAGACAUCGGCAUCUACUUGAGUAUUUACACACUCAAUGGAAGUAGUGUUGUUAAAAUUAUGACACAUGUGAUUGUAUAAAUUCUAAUAAAUUAUAAAUAGAAAUCCUAUGAGAUCUAAAAGAUCUUUUCUAUUA